rnacentral:lncRNA from 1 species
UUUCAUAUGUAGCUGCACACACAGAUUCUUACUGUCUCCACAAAGGUCAGAGAUUGUAAAUGGUCAAUACUGAUUUUUUUUUAAAUUCCCUUGACUCAAGACAGCUAACUUCAUUUUUAGAACUGUUUUAAACCUUUGUGUGCUGGUUUAUAAAACAAUGUGUGUAAUCCCUGUUGCUUUCCUGAUACCAGACUGUUUCCCGUGGUUGGUUAGAAUAUAUUUUGUUUUGAUGUUUAUAUUGGCAUGUUUAGAUGUCAGGUUUAGUCUUCUGAAGAUGAAGUUCAGCCAUUUUGUAUCAAACAGCACAACCAGUGUCUGUCACUUUCAGUGCAUAAAGUUUAGUGAGAUGUUCUGUGUAAGAUCUGAUUUGCUAGUUCUUCCUUGUAGAGUUAUAAAUGGAAAGAUUACACUAUAUGAUUAAUAAUUUCUUCAUACUCUGCAUAUAAUUUGUGGCUGAAGAAUAUUGUAAUUUG